CCCCUCUCAACCCCAGCAGUUCUGGCCUUUAUUUUCUUGUUCUGGCCUUGCUAAAUACCAAGCAUGGUGUUCAAAAGUCAGUGUACAAAAAUGACAGAAAACAAUGGCACUGUUCUCAGACACCUUAAGGCACAAUGGAACAGAGACACAGGUCCACUGGAUUUUGACAUUCCUCAGGAGAUAUCAGAGUUAUGCAGGAAUGCAUAAUCCACAAACUGCCAAGGAGAAACAUCAAGAAGAUUCAGAAGCUGAGCUAAUUCAAGUCUUACCCUGUUAGACCUCAAAAACACUUAAUUGAAAGGAAUCAAUUUCAGACCCACUCUGAGCAUCACACUGAAGGAAGCAGGUGGCAGCAAAAAUACC
rnacentral:lncRNA from 1 species